UACGAAGGGGGCUAGCGUUGCUCGGAAUUACUGGGCGUAAAGGGCGCGUAGGCGGACAGUUUAGUCAGAGGUGAAAGCCCAGGGCUCAACCUUGGAACUGCCUUUGAUACUGGCUGUCUUGAGUUCGGGAGAGGUGAGUGGAAUGCCGAGUGUAGAGGUGAAAUUCGUAGAUAUUCGGCGGAACACCAGUGGCGAAGGCGACUCACUGGCCCGAUACUGACGCUGAGGUGCGAAAGCGUGGGGAGCAAACAGG
rnacentral:rRNA from 1 species